rnacentral:rRNA from 1 species
CCUACGGGUGGCAGCAGUGAGGAAUAUUGGUCAAUGGUCGGGAGACUGAACCAGCCAAGCCGCGUGAGGGAUGAAGGUACAGAGUAUCGUAAACCUCUUUUGUCAGGGAACAAAGGCGGGGACGUGUCCCCGGAUGAGUGUACCUGAAGAAAAAGCAUCGGCUAACUCCGUGCCAGCCGCCGCGGUAAUACGGAGGAUGCUAGCGUUAUCCGGAUUUGUUGGGUUUAAAGGGUGCGGAGGCGGUCUGUUAAGUCAGCGGUAAACGCCCGGGGCUCAAUACCGGCCCGCCGGUGAAACUGGCAGGCUCGAGUUGGAGAGAGGUAUGCGGAAUGCGCGGUGUAGCGGUGAAAUGCAUAGAUAUAGCGCAGAACUCCGAUUGCGAAGGCAGCAUGCCGGCUCCACACUGACGCUGAGGAACGAAAGCGUGGGUAUCGAACAGGAUUAGAUACCCCAGUAGUC